rnacentral:rRNA from 1 species
UACGGAGGGUGCAAGCGUUAUCCGGAUUUAUUGGGUUUAAAGGGUGCGUAGGCGGUUAUUUAAGUCAGUGGUGAAAGUUUUCGGCUCAACCGGAAAAUUGCCAUUGAUACUGGGCAGCUAGAAUCUGGUUGGUGUGAGUUGAAUGUGGGGUGUUGCGGUGAAAUGCAUAGAUAUCACACAGAAUACCGAUUGCGAAGGCAUCUCACAAAGCCAUCAUUGACGCUGAGGCACGAAAGUGUGGGGAUCAAACAGGAUUAGAUACCCUGGUAGUCCACACUGUAAACGAUGAUAACUAGCUGUUGGCGAUACACAGUCAGUGGCCAAGCGAAAGCGAUAAGUUAUCCACCUGGGGAGUACGACCGCAAGGUUGAAACUCAAAGGAAUUGACGGGG